CAGCCGUAAACUAUGCUCGCUAGGUGUCAGGCAUGGCGCGACCGUGUCUGGUGCCGCAGGGAAGCCGUGAAGCGAGCCACCUGGGAAGUACGGCCGCAAGGCUGAAACUUAAAGGAAUUGGCGGGGGGAGCACAACAACGGGUGGAGCCUGCGGUUUAAUUGGACUCAACGCCGGACAACUCACCGGGGACAACAGCAAUAUGUAGGCCAGGCUGAAGACCUUGCCUGAAUCGCUGAGAGGAGGUGCAUGGCGUAGACGUCU
rnacentral:rRNA from 1 species